UACGUAGGUGGCAAGCGUUAUCCGGAAUCAUUGGGCGUAAAGGGUGCGUAGGCGGCUUAUUAAGUCUGUAGUGAAAUCGUAGAGCUCAACUCUAUCAAGCUACGGAAACUGGUAAGCUAGAGUGCGGUAGAGGCUAGUGGAAUUCCAUGUGUAGCGGUAAAAUGCGUAGAUAUAUGGAGGAACACCGGUGGCGAAGGCGGCUAGCUGGGCCGUAACUGACGCUGAGGCACGAAAGCGUGGGGAGCAAACAGG
rnacentral:rRNA from 1 species